rnacentral:lncRNA from 1 species
AUGCGUCCCGUCGGCAGGCAGGCGUUGCCAGGGGCGGUGCGCGGCGGUGAGCGUGGUGCCGGGCGGGCCGUGACGCGCCGCCGGGCCGGGGAGCACCGCCUCCAGCCUCCGGGUCACCGCCAGCCCUUCCGGGUCGCCGCCGAGCCGCGGUUGGGCCCGUGCUGCCGCCGUGGUCGCCCCGGUAUGGACAACCAGAAGGAUGAGAAAGGCAGGGUGCUCAGUGCAGCUUCGGCAGAGGACCUGAAAGUCCGAGGAAAAGAAAAAAGGAAAAGAAGGCGUAGCAGAAGCAGAUCAUCAUCCAUUUCAUCCACAUCGUCUUCUAGCACUACAUCCACUUCUUCUUCCUCAUCACGUUCAUCAUCAAGGUCGUCGUCUUCAAGUAGCAGAGAUUCUCCUAAAACUAAAUCAAAGAAAAGGAAAAAAGAAAAACACAACAAAAAGAAGAGGAAAAAAGAGAACAAAACGAAGAAAAAGAAAGAAAAGAAGAAAAAGAAAGAGAAAACAGGACCUGUCCAGCUUUCUAAGUUCUUCAAAAACAAGAAGAAGAAUGAAAACUACAGCAUGAUAACUGGAAAGAAAAUUAAGAUGAAAAUAAAGAAGACUAAGAAGGAUAAAGAGAGAGACAGGAACCGUGCAGAGCUGCUUGAAUUUCUGAACUCUGCCUUAUAA